rnacentral:misc_RNA from 1 species
CAUUAUUUCAAGCUUAAAAGAGUGGCUGGCUGACUCAGCCAUUGGAAACAAUGCUAUUUUGAGGCUGAUUGCUGGAACCAUAUUCAUGCAUGAAGAAGACUAUAAUGAGGCUUUAAAACACACUAAUGCUGGAGGAACUAUGGAAUUGCAUGCAUUGAAUAUCCAAAUAUUCCUUAAGAUGCACAGGUCAGAUUAUGCAGAGAAACAGCUGAGGUACAUGCAGCAGAUUGAUGAGGACCACACACUAACUCAACUUGCAAAUGCAUGGUUGAAUCUGGCAGUUGGUGGUUCAAAGAUACAGGAAGCAUAUCUCAUCUUUCAAGAUUUCUCUGAGAAGUAUCCAAUGACGAGCUUGAUCUUGAAUGGGAAGGCAGUUUGUUGCAUGCACAUGGGAAACUUUGAUGAAGCUGAGACAUUGUUGCUUGAAGCGCUAAACAAGGAUGCAAAGGAUCCAGAGACUUUAGCCAAUUUGGUAGUAUGCAGUCUUCACCUUGGUAAACCCUC